UCAAUGGGUAAGACUAAAUAGAAAGACUAGUGCUCAGUUCAGAGCCUAUUUCCUGAUCUCAGUUUGUAAGUGAACAUUCAGGAGGGAGCCCAUGGCCUGGAGAGAAAGCUGGUGACCAGGGAAGAACAGAAGAGUGGUUUCCACUGCCGCCUGCCAUGAUGAGCUGCCACUGGCGCAGCAGCUGAAUCUGCCGGUGCAGUGAUUGCAACCGUGAAAGACUGGAGGAGAAAGACAGCCCUUUGUGGCAGCAGCAGCCACGGGGCAGAAUUUGCAUCUGUAUUACAUUCAUGUUGGACAGAAAAGAGCUUACACAUUAGCCUGUGAAUCAAUCUCAGAAAAGUGUGAGGUGACCUAAUUUUAAGAAGACCUAUGUGAGGAGGAUUGACUUCAUUGCCUGUGCAUUUUUAAAGAGUUUGUUUUAUUUUGUUUUCUGUGCCUCGUGGAGAUUUGGGGACUAGAUUAAGGAAACGAGUAAGAAGAGUCAUGUAUGUCUAAAGCAAGCAGAAGAAAAGAAAUGAUAAAAAAUUAGAGUAAAAAUCAAUGAAAAUGAAAAUACAAAAAUGAUAGAGAAAAAUCAGUGAACCCAAAGCUGGUUCUUUGAAAAGACAAAAAGAAAAAAAAAAUGAGUAAGUCUCUAGCUAGGUUACCAAGCUAAUACCAAAAAUGUAACAGGGUUAAUUACUACUGAUCCCAUGGAUAUUAAAAGAAUAAUAAAAAAAAACUAUAAAGAAGUCUAUGCCCACAAAUUUGAUAACUUAGAUGAGAUGAACCAAUUACUUGAAAAACACAAACUACCAAAAUUUAUACAAGGAGAAAUAAAUAUCUGAAUAGAUUUAUACCUGUUAAAGAAAUUGAAGCAAUAAUUAAAAACCUUCCAAAAAAAGAAAACACCAAGCCUAGAUGGUUUUACUAGUGAUUUCUACAAAAUAUUUCAGGAGGAAUUGAUACCAAUUCUCCACAAUCUCAUCCAGGAGUCAGAAGCAAAGUGAACACCUCCUAAUUCAUUCUAUCCAGUAUCACUGUGAUAAUGAUACCAGGUAAAGAUGUUAAGAGAAAGAAAAAGUGCAGACCAAUAUCUCUCAUGAAUAUAGAUGCAAAAACCUUCAACAAAACAUUAGAAAAUUGAACCCAACAAUAUAUGAAAAUAAAUAUAUAUUACAACCAAUGGGAUUUAUUCUGGUUAUCUAUGGCUGAUUCAACAUUUGGAAAUUAAUAAAAUCCACCCAUCAACAGGCUCAAGAAAAAUCAUGUGUUUGUAUCAUUUGAUACAGGAAAAGAUAUAACAAAA